AGAGAUUGUCUAACUAUCACAAUCAUUCGGCAUUUACAUCAUUUGAAUAUAUUACAUUUUCAUCUUCCAAAAUGUAAGUACAUGUUUUCUUCAAAAUACAAGUUGCCUUCCCAUAACUAACAAAACAUCAACUAGUACACGAGGGUACUCUAAUGCAUAAAGGAAAAGCUACUAACUAGGCUCACUUAGGGCGCUAUGCCCUUGCCGCGGUCCUCGCUCGGCUCGCCUCUGCGUGUACCUGUACCCCAAAAGCACACGGGGUGAGAACUAUAUAAAUAUAGUUCCCAGUGGGUUCGGCCGCCGACGCCGCCGGUUUUCCCACUAGGUCCAAGCUGACACAGAUAGAUAGAUACAAAGGUAGAUAGAAAUAAACUGCUACUAUAUCUACUAUGCCAUCAAAUGCAAGGAAUGCAUGGAACAUCAUUUAGCAAUAACCUACUAUCAUGCUAAUAUGCUUCAACAAUGUAAUAAAUACAACUGCAACAUAGUUAUGCUGUCUACUAUGUCUAAUCAUGACAUGAAUGCAAUCCACUUAUGCUAUUCAUGUUUCAACCCAAUCGACUAGGCCAAAUUGCCUAAGAUCUCAAAUCUCAAAGGUCCUAGACAAAGAGCUACCCCGCUCCUUGCCCGACUCAAUCUCGAAGGUCCUAGGCAAAGAGUUACCCCGCUCCUCGCCCGACUCAAUCUCGCUCUACUAGGUACGAGCUGCUACAUAGUAAUGGAAUAUACACAUGCUACUAUGCCUCUGUAAUCAUGGAAUGCAUGAACAUAGCAAUGAUAUUCUACUAAUCAUGAUACUAUGCUUCAACAAUAAUAGAAAUGAGCUACUACAUAGUGAUGUAUCUACAACAUGCUACUAUGUCUCAAUGUCAACUCAAGGUAUGAAUGCAAAUCUGCUAUGCCAUUCAUAUUCUUUACCCAAUCUGCUUGGAAAUGAGCUACUACAUAGUGAUGUAUCUGCACAUGCUACUAUGCCUCAAUAAUCCGAAUGAACGAGCUACUACAUAGUGCGUCGUGCAACUAUGCCUCGAUAGUAUCCAAUCUCAUGGCUAACCCGAAGGUUGCCACCCCGGGGUCAACCCCGACUCACUCUCAAUCUCAUAGGUGAGGAGAAUCUGCACUCGCACACCGAGACCGUCUGCGGGACAACUACGUCUGCCCCUAGUGAAGUACUCCGGAGACUCGUGCUUCGGUGGAGCGACCACCGACAAGCAAAAACAGACUAGUGAGUAUGAUCCAAUCCUCACAAGAGGAUACCCUAUCUACCAGGGUCAAUGUGCCUCUGCUGCACAAUACCAAAUGCAUAAUCAAUGCCUCAAAUGCACUAAUGCCAAAUGCAUAAUGUCUACAACAUGACAAUCGGGAAAAUCUACUAUCCCUAGGUUCAAAUGCCAUAGUGUUUCACUACACUAGAUUUGAUGCCACUCGUUUAUGUCAUGAUGUUAUAUGUGUCUUAAUACACUAAAUCGACAUGCCACUCGUCAAUAUUAUAGUGUCUUUAUUACACUAGUCCAAACGCCACUCGUCUAGGCCAAUUACAUGUCCAAGUUCAUCAUCAUUCUUGUCACUAUAGGAUUCUUGUCGCAAGACCCAAUCCUCAUGCAACCUAAGAUCAAGUGUCAAGCCCACAAUGCUACACAACCUAGGUAACAUGCAAGGAAUGGAAAUGUAAUCAUCUACUAAUCCUAUAAUGCAUAAUAUAUCAACAUAUAGGAAUACGAUCAACAUAUAGAACUUAGACAUAAAAGGAAGCUCAGUUGCUUCGGGAUGGACACCCCCCACCUUUUAAUGCUACCAAGAGGCUAGGGUUCCGAUUUCGUGAUUUUUGAAAGCUUUUGCCGCGAGCUGCGGCAAUCUAUACCUUAACGGCUUCGUUCUUUAAUAUCUUCACGUAGCCUCGUCGUAUCGCCGAACCGACUUCGCCAACGCGUCAGAAAACCUAGCAAUUAGGUUUAUACAUGAUCAAUUUAGAUCAAAACCCCUCACAAGCAAAACCCCUCUUUUGAUGCCCUAAGAUGCAACUAUGCAAGAAUUCAUCAUUUGAUCUCUAAAUUCGAGCAUCAACCAUCUAUUUAGCAUCCAGGAGUUUCACUAAACCCAUUUCUAAGGCAUACAAAUCACUACUUAGCAAUCUAUCAUUGUUGCUAUCAAAGCUUACCUCUCAAACCCAAGCUCUCUUCAAGCCAAUGGUGAAGAAAAGAAAGCUUCACCUCUAAGCAAGCUUUUUCUUCUCCAAAUCCACCUCCAACUCCUCUCUUUGGUGGAGAAAUUGCUAGAGAGAGAGAGAGAGAUCUUUCUCUUUGGUUGCAAGUGUGAGGGAAUGAGAGAAAAGGCUCAAUCCUUCAUAUAUAUAUGUAUAUAGGAAACUUGACCUCCAAGUUUCAUAGGAAACUUGACCUCCAAGUUAUCCAAGAACACUAUUCACAUUCAGUUUAGCAGCACGGUACAAAUUUUUUUCAUCUGCCCUUCUGAACGUCCGUUUGAGCUCAAAUUUGGCAGUCAUGCUCGGUUUUAUUUAACUUACUGAAAGAAAUUUUAAUCUUUCAGUUUCGACCCCGUUUGGUCACCGAAAACUCUACCGAACUGUAAUCUUUAUCAGAUAACUGUCGGAUUUUAUUUUCUACCUUCUAGGUGUCAGAAUGGGCUGAAACUUUAAAUCUAGUCUCACAAAAAUAAUUCUGACUUAUCCUCCAGUUUUCAAAAUUUUCUGACACUGUGCAUUUUCUGCCAAUUUAUCUGCCCCGUUUCACACAGAAAAUUCUAAAUAUUCUGUUUUCGCUUUGAUUUCAGCACGGAUCAUUCCAGACUUAUAUUUCACUUCUCUAAAUCCUAUAAAAAUAGUAUCUCAUACUAUUUUUAUUUAUUUUCACUUUUAUAUUUAAAAUUCGGUAUGUUACAUUCCACCGCAAUCUCACCGGAACCAUUUAAAUGUACAUCGUAACUUCAUAGUUUUAGAAGUCAGGUACCUUACAUCCUCCCCUCCUUAAAAAGAGUUUCGUCCUCGAAACUCAAAUCUCAUCUAAAUUCGAGUUUUCGAGCAUCUGGGGGUAAUAAUGCACUUUUGCACUCCGGAGUAGUCUUUUUCUCAUCGGAACUAUCCAAAGGCCCACUACAGAGGAUGUGAGGCUAGAUUCACUCACAUUUGCUAAACGUAACUUCGAAAGUGCAUUACGGGCCUCCGUCAUUCUUGGUGGUAGCGCAAAUCGAAACUCAACGACUCUGUGCGCUCCAACACCAUUCAUCAUCUGACAUGCAAGGACUCUUCUUUGCAUUUACCUUCCCCCUUCAGGACAUUCCGACUCGAUCACAAACAUUGCUCAACAGCAAUAUGAUUGGUGUAUCACCCAAUCACGAGUGUUCUAACCACAUUCGGACCUUGCUCUACCGCGAGACGGCCUACCCCGGCAUAUCUCGACUCUUAAUCCACAAGAGAGCAUUGUCCACAAUUCCAUGUGGCUAUCCUGUAUUCAAGUGUCUCCAAGAGACCACUUUUCCUUACCUCUCAAUUGCCACUUCUAACCUUAAAUCGCUCUACUACGAGAUAGCCUACCCCGGCACAUCUCGAUUUCCAACCCUCAAGAGAGCACUAUCUUCAAGUUCUCCAACUUCUCCAACAUGACCCAGCCCGCCUUGGCAAAUUUCAGACUCGGGGACCGGUCUUGCCCUACCUGGGACCGGUUGCCCCGCGCUGCGCAACCCUCCGCCUCGGGGCAACUGGUCCCUCCCUCCUAGGACCGGUCCCCGAGAGCAAGCUCGCGCAGACCAUGUUCGGGAACCAGUCCCUCCCGCCAGGGACCGAUCCCCGAGAGCAAAUCUGCCAAGUGCAAAUUCUUGCACCAUUUGCUCUCGCGGACUCCAUUGUAAUGCACUUUUGGUGCAUUCAACGUCUUCGGCUUUUACGAAGCACUCCCAUUUGACAAUUAGUCGAUCUUGAGCGAAGUUCAACUCUCGUAUUUCGAAAAUUCACUUCCUUGCUCCCAACUCCUCCACAGAGUUAUCGGCUAAACCGAUUACGUCAGCUUUCACAGGUGGACCAACGGUCGUAAUACCACGUCGGCAUACUCCUAAACCUGUCGUAACUACGCACAGCGUCUCUCGCUCACAUCGUAGAUCCAAUCAUAACCGGGUGAACUUCUCACUUGGGAAUUCGCACGCACUCCAAACCACGUCAAGUUCUCGGGUUGGGGUCACAUUCAAACUUGGUGUAUCCUCGAUCACAUGAUCCAAUGCGUGGCAUUCCACGCUCCCGGGUCUAAGCUCGGACUACCGUCCUGACCAAAACUCUGCCCUACCCAUAGGUACCGGGCCGCUGCCACUCGCAGCCGACUGUGCCUACCCAAUGGGCCCAGGCUUCACAAUCCACAAAUGGUCCAGGCACGGGUUGUCCCCAAGCACUACACGCCGUCGUCGUCCUACAUGACAUGUUCUACCGAGCCACAUAUACUACUGUCGGCUCCUACUCGGCUACUCUCUCAACAGUGAUUCUACUCUCACUGUUCGAUCUACCGAAAUAAUAUUCGAGAUGCUCAAGCCACUCGGGUAUUCGCAUGUCACUGCGCAACUCUCGCAAUUCGAUACUCACUGCCUUGAGAGUCGCUUCACCGUUUCGUCUGUACCACGAGUCUCACUUAUCGCCCAACAAUCAUCACCGGCAAGUUGCUAGUGCCAUCCAACUCUCUACCUGCUGCCGGCAGAACUCCAGCCAACUGCCUCGGAGCCACUGGGGCGAAUGUAACAAACAGUGCAGGCGACGCUCCCUCUGGGCAGUAACGGCUUAUAUGCCCUGCCCGACCACACCUGAAGCACCGUUCCGCCUUAUGCUCACAAUUUCCUGCGCGAUGCUCUCCACCGCAGAUCACACAUCGCUUAGGUCCAUAGCCAUCGGACCACCUCACCCGAUACUUCGGGGGCUUCUGGGAACUAAACUGUCCCCCCGAACUACCGCCAGGUCGUUUCUUUCCCUUAUCCUCUUCGAACGCCUUGCGCUCGCAUUCGACCUCCUCAGCCAUCGCAUCGAGAAUCGCAGAACCCGAAGCCGCCAGAGGUACACCAACCGACGAGGAAUGUACCGCCACCGGAACCGCUGCCAGGCCCUCACCCUCAGCCGCAUCAAGCGCGCGAAUCGAGGGCGCGGGCGGACCACGACCUUCAAUUGCCGUCGCGGCCAUCGCCGCUACCAGCCGCUCCAAACGCUCCUGGAGCCGCUCGAUCAAACUCCCUUGGCGUUGAACCACGCCAAUUAGUGCAGUCAUCUGCGCCCGCAGUUCCUGGACCUCACUUGAUCCAGCUUGUUCUGGCACCUCAGCAGGCUGUGCCGGAACGGAUCUACGCACGUAGUGUCUCAUUGGUGCCAUUAGCUCCUGAAACACUACAACUUGGUUAAUCACCUUAACCCAUUAAUCUCGUCGCAACUACUAGACAACGCGACUCAACUCCACCAUAAGCAGACGUACACCAUUGUAUUAGUCCUAACUCUUAGCGUCAUGUUGUCGGCCGCCAACACAAACUCCUCGAGCUCGGAACUAACACCGCUCGGAUCUAUCUCUAGUCACAUUAGAGAUCUAUACUCGAUCCGACCCAAUCGAAUUCUUCCUCAAUCGAUUCAGGUUUACGUUUCUCUCACGUACCUAUACAAUCCUAGGGUUCACCAUCCUAAGGUCUCUUAGGUCCAUCCUAGACUCUCUCUUUACUUGCUGUUAAUUGCUCUGAUACCAACACUAUCUGUCACGCCCCGCCCCGAAUCCAAUACCAAUUUGACACGGUUUGGGCACGCCGGACGGACCGCCGAACGGACAGCACCUUUCCUGUCCACCCAAGGCUAAGUAACCAGAUCAUGUACAGUUAAGCGCCCAGGGAAUGCUUAAAUAACAGACAUGAUCGAUACGAUGCACACAAGUGCACAAUAACUAAGAGCAAGAACCACAAGUGAAUGUACAAGUGUAUAAAGAGAGAUAGUCUAACUAUCACAAUCAUUCAACAUUUACAUCAUUUGAAUAUAUUACAUUUUCAUCUUCCAAAAUAUAAGUACAUGUUUUCUUCAAAAUACAAGUUGCCUUCCCAUAACUAACCAAACAUCAACUAGUACACGAGGGUGCUCUAAUGCAUAAAGGAAAAGCUACUAACUAGGCUCACUUAGGGCGCUAUGCCGUUGCCGCUCUCCUCGCUUGGCUCGCCUCUGCGUGUACCUGUACCCCAAAACCACAUGGGGUGAGAACUAUAUAAAUAUAGUUCCCAGUGGGUUCAGCCGCCGACGCCGCCGGUUUUCCCACUAGGUCCAAGCUGGCACAGAUAGAUAGAUAGAAAGGUAGAUAGAAAUAAACUGCUACUAUAUCUACUAUGCCAUCAAAUGCAAGGAAUGCAUGGAACAUCAUUUAGCAAUAACCUACUAUCAUGCUAAUAUGCUUCAAUAAUGUAAUAAAUACAACUGCAACAUAGUUAUGCUGUCUACUAUGUCUAAUCAUGGCAUGAAUGCAAUCCACUUAUACUAUUCAUGUUUCAACCCAAUCGACUAGGCCAACUUGCCUAAGAUCUCAAAUCUCAAAGGUCCUAGAAAAAGAGCUACCCCGCUCCUUGCCCGACUCAAUCUCGAAGGUCCUAGGCAAAGAGUUACCCCGCUCCUCGCCCGACUCAGUCUCGCUCUACUAGGUACGAACUGCUACAUAGUAAUGGAAUAUACACAUGCUACUAUGCCUCUGUAAUCAUGGAAUGCAUGAACAUAGGAAUGAUAUUCUACUAAUCAUGAUACUAUUCUUAAACAAUAAUGGAAAUGAGCUACUACAUCGUGAUGUAUCUACAACAUGCAAUGUCAACUCAAGGUAUGAAUGCAAAUCUGCUAUGCCAUUCAUAUUCUUUACCAAAUCUGCUUGGAAAUGAGCUACUACAUAGUGAUGUAUCUGCACAUGCUACUAUGCCUCAAUAAUCCGAAUGAACGAGCUACUACAUAGUGCGUCGUGCAACUAUGCCUCGAUAGUAUCCAAUCUCAUGGCUAACCCGAAGGUUGCUACCCCGGGGUCAACCCUGACUCACUCUCAAUCUCAUAGGUGAGGAGAAUCUACACUCGCACACCGAGACCGUCUGCGGGACAACUACGUCUGCCCCUAGUGAAGUACUCCGGAGACCCGUGCCUUGGUGGAGCAACCACCGACAAGCAAAAAUAGACUAGUGAGUAUGAUCCAAUCCUCACAAGAGGAUACCCUAUCUACCAGGGUCAAUGUGCCUCUGUUGCACAAUACCAAAUGCAUAUUCAAUGCCUCAAUUACACUAAUGCCAAAUGCAUAAUGUCUACAACAUGACAAUCGGAAAAAUCUACUAUCCCUAGGUUCAAAUGCCAUAGUGUUCCACUAUACUAGAUUUGAUGCCACUCGUUUAUGUCAUGAUGUUAUAUGUGUCUUAAUACACUAAAUCGACAUGCCACUCGUCAAUAUUAUAGUGUUCUUAUUACACUAGUCCAAAUGCCACUCGUCUAGGCCAAUUACAUGUCCAAGUUCAUCAUCAUUCUUGUCACUAUAGGAUUCUUGUCACAAGACCCAAUCCUCAUGCAACCUAAGAUCAAGUGUCAAGCCUACAAUGCUACACAACCUAGGAAACAUGCAAGGAAUGGAAAUGUAAUCAUCUACUAAUCCACAUCUACUAAUCCUAUAAUGCAUAAUAUAUCAACAUAUAGGAAUAUGAUCAACAUAUAGAACUUAGACAUAAAAGGAAGCUCAGUUGCUUCGGGAUGGACACCCCCCACCUUUUAUCGCUAUCACGAGGCUAGGGUUCCGAUUUCGUAAUUUUUGGAGGCUUUCGCCGCGAGCUGCGGCAAUCUGUACCUUAACGGCUUUGUUCUUUAAUAUCUUCACGUAGCCUCGUUGUAUCGCCGAACCGACUUCGCAAACGCGUAUGAAAACCUAGCAAUUAGGUUUAUACAUGAUCAAUUUAGAUCAAAACCCCUCACAAGCAAAACCCCUCUUUUGAUGCCCUAAGAUGCAACUAUGCAAGAAUUCAUUAUUUGAUCUUUAAAUUCGAGCAUCAACCAUCUAUUUAGCAUCCAAGAGUUUCACUAAACCCAUUUCUAAGGCAUACAAAUCACUACUUAGCAAUCUACCANCAUUGUUGCUAUCAAAGCUUACCUCUCAAACCCAAGCUCUCUUCAAGCCAAUGGUGAAGAAAAGAAAGCUUCACCUCUAAGCAAGCUUUUUCUUCUCCAAAUCCACCUCCAACUCCUCUCUUUGGUGGAGAAAUUGCAAGAGAGAGAGAGAUCUUUCCCUUUGGUUGCAAGUGUGAGGGAAUGAGAGAAAAGGCUCAAUCCUUCAUAUAUAUAUAUGUAUAUAGGAAACUUGACCUCCAAGUUACAUAGGAAACUUGACCUCCACGUUAUCCAAGAACACUAUUCACAUUCAGUUUAGCAGCACGGUACAGAUAUUUUUCGUUUGCCCUUCUGAACGUCCGUUUGAGCUCAAAUUUGG
rnacentral:lncRNA from 1 species